rnacentral:hammerhead_ribozyme from 2 species
AUCCAGCUGACGAGUCCCAAAUAAAAGGAGACGAGCGUCCUGGAU